rnacentral:lncRNA from 1 species
UUCACGCACCGUACACCGUGAUAACCCUGCAGCCGCAGCACGGUGCGCAAAUUAGGCUGAAGAAGAUAUGAGCAUGCUUUCUCAUGGGGCAGUGAAUGACUGAAUGUUAGCUUUUGGCUGAAUAAACAUAGCAACUAGUUCAUGUUGUAGUCGCAAAAAAAUAGGUUUACUUUUGUGUACUCUUUUUUGAAAUAACUGAGCGAAUUGAGAUAGUAGUUUCAGUUGAAUUGCUCGUUUGCUUCAGUUCAUAAUAGUACUGCAGGUCUGUAACUUCCAUUCAAUGGAACUCCUAUCAUGAUGCUCGCAGAAAAAAAGCUCCUUCUAUCAGGCUAAAGAAAAAAUGACACUGAAAAGUCUUUCUUACACUGGAGUUGUUUACCAGAAAUUGUCUGCAUUAUAACUGUGCUCAAUCAAAACUCGGCAUGAAUCCAAAGGGAGAAAAACAAACCUGGAGAUAGUAGUUUCAUGUAUGCACUAAAGAAGAAUUAAUUAUAACCAUGCUCAAUCAAAGCUCAGCAUGAAUCAAAGGGAGAAAAACAAACCUGGGGAUAGUUGUUUAAUGUAUGCACUAAAGAAGAAUUAGAAUACAGAUAAAGCUCAAGAAUGCCUUUCAUAGAUCGAAUUCGAAGCUUAAAAAAACCAACUGGACAAAAAAGAAUGAUAUCCCACUAUACAACGACUGUAGGUAUGCCUUUUGUCUAUCAAGUUGACAAACUGCUAGUAUUCGCGAAAAAAAGGGGCACACAAACCAAAUACAUAUGUAAAAUGGGAAAUUAUAGGUAAAUUUGUGAAAACUUUGAUGUACUUCCAUGCAACAGGAGCAACAGCUAAAAUUUACAUAUUACAGUUUUUUUUCUAAGAGACCAAGGAUUACAAUCUUUUCAUGGGUAUGAAUCCUACACAAACAAUUGGACAUUCACGCACCCUUGUUCUAGCAUUUGCGCAAAACAGACUUAGGGGGUGUUUGUUUCUAGGGAUUUUUUGGUGUAGGGACUAGAAAAAGUCCCUCUUAAAGACUUUUUAACCAAACAGGAGGGACUACUAGGGACUAAAAGUUGCUUUUUGGGACUAAAUGAAGAAUACUCUCAAGGAGAGUCUUUUUUGGGACUUUUCCAAUAAUAUCCCUUCAUGCACCCAUUGGCCCGCCGCCCCAUGGUGUUGUUGGUUGUUAUUUUUCUGUAUACUAGGGGUAACAUGGUCAUUUAAUAACCUCUAGGGACGGACUAGGGACUUUUUACUCUUUGGAAACAAACAGGGAGAGACUUUUUAGUUGGGACUAGAAAAAGUCCUAGGACUUAUGAACCAAACAGGGCCUUACACGCUGUUUUAACUGACUGGUAUGCAACUGAGUUUAGAUGCAGGUCACCACAAUAAAGGUGUCAUUAGCAGAAAAUCACCCCUUUGCAAUCUGUGGCAAACUUUACCGUACGCAAAGACCAACACUGGCAAACAAUACUGAUGAUAAAUGUUAAUUGCUUUGAUGACGUCACUAAUUGUUCGAGCCCGUCAGUCAGACUGAGUUGGCAAAAAAAGUGCCACGAGGGCACCUGUUGAGUGUGCCGAGGAGCUGUGCCAGUCCGCCGUGGGCAUGGCACUGGCUUGUAGAGCCAUCUCCAUCAUCCUCCUCCCCCUCCUUCCCUACCGCUACCGGCCAGGGUUCGCAUGGAAGCCACCCAAGACCGACGCCACGACGGCCCAGUGCCUGCACGCGAGCCCUCCCAUCUGCUCCCCUCACCUCCACACCUCUGCCUCCCUAUCCGACGCAUUGCACCGCCUAGACAAUGAAUCGGUCAGGGCUGCAGGGCAAUAAGCCAAUAAACAUGGUGAUUCCAAUUUGGCACUUCAGGCGCCCAUUUGUAUGCAGGCGUCUGAAGUUCCUCCGCGCCGGGCCGGCCCAACUCCCCUUCUGUUAUCUGUUUUUUGAAAACGCAAAAAACUGCGCCCAUAGAGUGAAUCUAACCGGUGACCUCCCACUUCGAGGGACGCUGCACUAACAACACGGCCACUUAGCCUGACCUAAUAAGUUGCAGCUUUUUCAUAUUUUCUUCUUGCUUCUUUCCCUUUUCCUUCUUUCCUUUUUCAUUCUUUCCUUUUUUUCCCUUUUUCCUUUUCUAUUUUUUCUUCUUACUUAUUCGAUGAAAAGAAUCAAUUUUGUGAACAUAUUUUUGAAAUCGAUGAAUUUUUUCAAAUUCGAUUCACUUUUUCUAUUUUUCGUUGAACUUUUUCACUUUUUGAUGAGUUUUUUUUUCAAAUUCGAUGAACUUUUUUCAAAUUUAUCAACUUUUGUAUUUUUGAACUUUUUUAAAAUCCAUGAAUAUUUUUGAAUUCAUGUUUUUUAUCGAUUGAUCAANNNNNNNNNNNNNNNNNNNNNNNNNNNNNNNNNNNNNNNNNNNNNNNNNNNNNNNNNNNNNNNNNNNNNNNNNNNNNNNNNNNNNNNNNNNNNNNNNNNNNNNNNNNNNNNNNNNNNNNNNNNNNNNNNNNNNNNNNNNNNNNNNNNNNNNNNNNNNNNNNNNNNNNNNNNNNNNNNNNNNNNNNNNNNNNNNNNNNNNNNNNNNNNNNNNNNNNNNNNNNNNNNNNNNNNNNNNNNNNNNNNNNNNNNNNNNNNNNNNNNNNAUUGGCGAGGACGAUCGAACGGUCUGGGCCAGCCAACGAUCAUGCGCGAGCGGCAGGAUCGGCAACCGGCACCAACAGCGUCGAUUAGGAGCUCCCAUUAAACAUUUUAUAAGCAAAAUAGAUCUCACUUAGAGUUUGCAAGGUCCCUUGAUUUUACCUGGCAGGCCCUGAAGCCAAUGCACCCGUCACUAUACCAUCCUUUUGCCAUUUCUUCUGUUAUUAUCCACUGAAAACUUGAAGGCACGGUGAGCUUCCUUUGGCUCGGGGCUUCCCGUGACGCAAUGCCUGACCGCAUGAACGAGACCGGCCGAAUUAUUGUAGAACUGAUCGGUUGACGAGUGCAACCAUACUACUCCCUCCGUUCCUAAAUAUUUGUCUUUCUAGACAUUUCAAAUGACUACUACAUACGGAUGUAUGUAGACAUAUUUUAGAGUGUAGAUUCACUCAUUUUGCUCCGUAUGUAGUCACUUGUUGAAAUGACUAGAAAGACAAGUAUUUAGGAACGGAGGGAGUAUAAUAGUCAGCUGACGAGCUCAUUGCUUCAUAGCCGGCCCCGCCGGUGCAUGGGGCCAAGGAAAUCUCAGCAUGCAAGGGCGACACGCGGUCAUGGAACGAAAUUUGAGCAUGCAAGGGCGACACGCGGUCACGCAAGGAAAUCCUGUGCCUCGCAAGUUCCUCCGUGGCCACUCGGUUCUGGCUUCUAGAAGAAGGAUAAUACAUGCUACGCGUCAAGCCAGCCGGCCCGUACUUAACUCCAGCCACUGUCCACACACGGACGCGACCGGCGGUUGCGCUGCGCCUGGUUUUCCUCUCCUUCACUGAACUGAUGGCGACCGAAAGCCUCCGGAUGCUGCUGGGGGACGCCUCGCCGUGGAGCGUCGCCGGCGCCGCGGCGGCCGUGGCGCUGCUGUGGCUGGGGGCGUGGGUCCUGGAGUGGGCGUGGUGGACGCCGCGGCGGCUGGGCCGGGCUCUGCGGGCCCAGGGCCUCCGGGGCACCCGGUACCGGCUCUUCACCGGCGACGUGCCGGAGAACGCCCGGCUCAGCAGGGAGGCCCGGCUGCAGCCCUUGCCGCGCGGCUCCCACGACAUCACCCCUCGCGUGCAGCCCAUGUCCUGCAACGUCAUCAAGGAGCACGGUAUGUUCUUCAGUCGCGAAAUUCACAAUUGCCUGAACUUGUUUUGAGACUCUUUGAGCUUUGUCUAUUCUUGUGCGGAUGUGCUCUGAACCUCUGAUACACAGCAUGUUCGCUAUAGAAGACAAAUUUAUAUGUGUGGGAUGGAUCUUGCUAGACAGGAGACACUAACAAAUUACGUACAAGUUUACAGCAUGCACUUUGAUUGCCAUGUAACAAAACAUCCAUCCAUGUACAAAAUUGCAGGGAAGAUGUCGUUCACUUGGUUUGGUCCAACGCCGAGGGUGACGAUUCCUGACCCGGAAUUGGUGCGAGAAAUUCUGUCCAACAAGUUUGGACACUACGGGAAGCAAAAGAGUAGCCGUUUCGGGAAGCUGCUAGCCGACGGAGUUGCAAAUCAUGAAGGCGACAAAUGGGCAAAGCACCGAAGAAUCCUCAAUCCCGCCUUUCACCAUGAGAAGAUAAAGGUAUCUGUUCAAUGGAAUUUUCUGGUGGCAUGGGUGAUGUGGGAUAAUGCACUCUUUGUAUUUUCGUUAAUUAAAGUGAAGUUAUAUACAGAACAAGGAAAACAUAACUCUUUGUAUAGAGUAUAGACUGAUUCGCAAAAAAAAAAAACACAACUCUUUGUAUAGACUGAUAAGCAAUGUUUCAUUUGCAGAGGAUGCUGCCUGUAUUUUCUGCGUGUUGCGAAGAAAUGAUUACAAGAUGGGAGAAUUCCAUGCCCACUGGAGGAUUUUGUGAGAUUGACGUCUUUCCUGAGUUCCAGAAUCUGACUGGAGAUGUCAUCUCGAGAACAGCAUUUGGUAGCAAUUAUCAGGAGGGAAUGAAAAUAUUCCAGCUGCAAGGGGAGUUAUGUGAACGGCUAAUACAGGCUUUUCAGACACUUUUCAUCCCAGGCUAUUGGUAAGUUGUUUUCUUACACAAGCUCAUAUCAUUUCAAGCAAAUGGAGUAGCUAGUUUAUCUCCGCUUAGAGGUGAUCAAAUGGAAUUUGAAAGGAAAAUAGUACUACACUUCUUUUCUUUAAAUGAAAGAGUUUAUUGAAGAAAAUAGUAGGCUGAUCAAAGAAACUUUAGUCUUUUCGAUGGUAAACUUAAACAGCAGCAAUCAAGAUUUUCUUUCCUAUGCUGACAUGUCAGACCAUUUGCAGGUUCUUACCAACAAAAAACAACAGAAGGAUGAGAGCAAUUGAUCGUGAAAUCCGCACGAUUCUACGAGGCAUUAUUGGGAAAAAAGAAAGAGCUAUUAAAAACGGUGAAGCUAGCAGCGAUGACUUGCUAGGAUUGCUGUUGGAGUCAAAUAUGCAACAAGCAAAUGGGAAAGCAAAUCUUGGAAUGAGUAUUGAAGAUAUAAUUGAGGAAUGCAAGCUAUUUUACUUUGCAGGUAUGGAGACAACAUCGGUCUUGCUCACAUGGACUCUAGUUGUGCUAAGCAUGCACCCAGAGUGGCAGGAGCAGGCAAGGGAGGAAGUUUUGCAUCAGUUUGGAAGAACCAGACCAGAUUUUGAGAACUUGAGUCGCCUGAAGAUUGUAAGUGCGAAGUUUAUGCCUUGUGCACAUAUUGUGGGAUAAAAUAAAAUCAAAUACGACCCUCUCCAUCAUCAAAGUGAGAAAAGAAGUAGCCAAGAAUAAAACCUAUCAUGUUCCAGUAUCAUUAAAAAUUGUAACACAUGUCUACAUAUGCAUGUGAGCAAAACAUAUACUCAUAAAUUGAAUUGAAAGGAUUUUUUUAGGAUGAUGUGAUUUUUUAGGUCUAGAAUGGUCGGAGUAAUGAUCUUGAUAUUGUGUAUUGUUUUGCAGGUAACAAUGAUUUUGUAUGAGGUUCUUAGGUUGUACCCGCCAGCAAUCUUCCUUGCGAGAAGAACUUACAAGGCAAUGGAGCUUGGUGGCAUCAGAUAUCCGGCAGGGGUGAACCUUAUGUUGCCCCUUAUCUUUAUCCACCAUGAUCCCGAUAUUUGGGGAAAAGACGCAAAGGAAUUCAAUCCACAGCGGUUUGCUGAUGGCAUCUCGAAUGCGGCAAAGCAUCCGGCGGCGUUCUUCCCGUUUGGAGGGGGUCCUCGUAUCUGCAUCGGCCAGAACUUUGCGUUGCUGGAAGCAAAGAUGGCUCUGAGCACCAUCCUCCAGCGCUUCUCGUUCGAGCUCUCACCGUCCUACAUCCACGCACCGUACACCGUGUUAAUCCUGCAGCCACAGCACGGUGCUCAAAUUAGGCUGAAGAAGAUAUGAGCGUGCUUUCUCAUGGGGCAGUGAAUUUACUUACGUGCUGUGUAUAGUUUAAAUGUUUAGCUUUCGGCUGAAUAAAAAUGCAACCAGGUUUACAUGCUGUGUAAUUUUUAUUUUGAAAUACCUGAAUGAAUGUAAAUGUAGUUUCAGUUGAACUGUCGUUUGCUUCAGUUCAUAAUAGUACUGCAAGUCUGAACUGUCAUUCAAUGGAACUCCUUUCAUCAAGCUGCAGAAACAUAUUACUCCC